AUGAUGGGGAAGAAGGAAGAGGAGACCUAAAGGCCAGCUGACAUGUGAGAAUCAGGGAAAGUGGCCACACGGGCCACUUCCACAGCUGUGUUUGAGAGCCACCUAGAACAUGGAUGCAAGCUGGAACUUUGACGUUGUCUUGGGGAUAAAAGUUAAACAAAGAAGUGGAUUCUUCAGUCCUGACGCGUAAGUCACUGAGAGGAUGAGCUCGUUCCCUCUCCUGAAAGACAUCUUCCUGUUACAGCAGCCAGCUUUGCCAGCUCCCUGAACGUUCUGCUGCCUCCUUGCCCAGAACAAGUUGUCCAUGCUUCCUGAGAGCUGUCCUCUCAAAUGGGCUGCCAAUUUCAGCUCAUAUUCCAAGAAAAUCUGAGAACCCAGAAUCAAACCAAAAAGAGUCAGAAAAUACCGGUUACUGCUCUAGACCUGAAAGGCAGACAACAUGGAGGUCUUUCAAAACCAACAGCAGCCACAAAGCUAAUCAAGGCUCCAGGUUGAACUGUCACACUCAAGGCGACGAAAAGUCACCAAAGCCAUCAGGACUCUGAUCUCAGGUUCCUCUCCCAGGCAUUGGAUUCACAGCCCUGAGGAUUUUUCCUUCCAUUGGUUAGAGGCAGACAUGUUUGUGGUGUGGCUACACCGAUGUUCCCAUUUUAUAGGCAAAGCCAUCAUUCCUGACUCCGGAUAUAUAUUGAUUUUUUUUCUUUAUAAUGGCGGAAAGUAGGUUGGGCUUUCCCAACUUCAAGACUCACCUUUACACUGGAAAUCCAAAGACACUGACUUGCAUGAUCGAAUGUGUUGGGAAUGUUUUGGUGCUGGCUUCUUUGUUUGCUCAAAUCAUAAAGCUGACAGUUUCCCUGACCUGUGACCAUUGUGAACCUUCACAGCUCCCAGACUGUACUGACAGCUUUUGUUGUCUGAGCAGCCGGAAUUGUUGGUGUCCAGGAACCUUAUUCCUGCGACACUGUAUAGUAAGUUGGGGAUUUUAUUUGGUACAUGAAAGGAAAAAAAACUCGAUUUGUGAGUCAAGCAUUAAAAAGUAUGUUCACGAAAAA
rnacentral:lncRNA from 1 species